rnacentral:rRNA from 1 species
CAGUGGGGAAUAUUGCACAAUGGGCGGAAGCCUGAUGCAGCGACGCCGCGUGAGGGAUGACGGCCUUCGGGUUGUAAACCUCUUUCAGCAGGGACGAAGCGUAAGUGACGGUACCUGCAGAAGAAGCGCCGGCCAACUACGUGCCAGCAGCCGCGGUAAGACGUAGGGCGCGAGCGUUGUCCGGAUUUAUUGGGCGUAAAGAGCUCGUAGGCGGCUUGUCGCGUCGACUGUGAAAACCCGCAGCUCAACUGCGGGCCUGCAGUCGAUACGGGCAGGCUAGAGUUCGGUAGGGGAGACUGGAAUUCCUGGUGUAGCGGUGAAAUGCGCAGAUAUCAGGAGGAACACCGGUGGCGAAGGCGGGUCUCUGGGCCGAUACUGACGCUGAGGAGCGAAAGCGUGGGGAGCGAACAGGAUUAGAUACCCUGGUAGUCCACGCUGUAAACGUUGGGCGCUAGGUGUGGGGGGCCUCUCCGGUUCCCUGUGCCGCAGCUAACGCAUUAAGCGCCCCGCCUGGGGAGUACGGCCGCAAGGCUAAAACUCAAAGGAAUUGACGGAAGC